CCUUUCUAUAUUUUAUAUGAAAAUACUGGAUCAGGUGUUCUUUUCCAUCCAAAAGGCUGGUCUUAACUUUAAUAUAAUUUCCAGAUAUAGCUGAGUGCCUUCCAAAGAGGCUUUCUGCCAGUGCUACAGGUUGUGAUGGAACAUUCCAAACAUUCCACAGCGCCAAAUUUAGCGUUUGUGGCCAUUUCAGUUACUGCACUUCAACCAUGGAUUCUUUCUGUGACAUUCUGUUUGCUACAGAGAAUGCUCUAACUGGCAGGGCCAAAGUACAGCAGCUGAAGUUCCCACCCAAAAGGCACAUAACACAUCUCCCUAGAAAAUUUCCAGGGAAAUAGAAACUGCCCCACCAAGCUGUGGCAGAUAACAACCUGCAAAUUCUUGGAAAAAGAGUCCAGGAAUACCAGCAGGUAUGUGUGGGAACCUGCACAAGAUUCUCAAAAGCAUGAAUGAAUCUUCAAGUAUGUCUGAGUACCAAGAAGACCUGCUAUUGAUGCAGCUAUUAAAUGUCCUAUGCAAAUGAAAACCUUUUAAGUAACUACAUCUGUCAACUUAGUUUACAUUUUCUUAAAACCAAAAUCACAGAACUUUUUUUUCUUCUUCUUCUUUUAUUGUUUUGUUUCACUACCA